GGGGUAAGGGCCCACCAAGGCGACGAUCAGUAGCCGGACUGAGAGGUUGAACGGCCACAUUGGGACUGAGACACGGCCCAGACUCCUACGGGAGGCAGCAGUGGGGAAUAUUGGGCAAUGGGCGCAAGCCUGACCCAGCAACGCCGCGUGAAGGAAGAAGGCUCUCGGGUUGUAAACUUCUUUUAAGAGGGACGAAACAAAUGACGGUACCUCUUGAAUAAGCCACGGCUAACUAC
rnacentral:rRNA from 1 species